GCGGCCGCGGUUCCCACAGCUCCGGGGCUGCGCUCCGGCCUCCUCCUCCUUUAGCUGAAGCUCCAUUAACUCUGCACAAAACCUCGGCCCGCCUCGGCCGGGCCCAGUGAAAGGCGCUCCCGGGCGGGGGCCCUCGGGGAGGCUGCCCGUGUCCUCGCCCCAACCCAGCCCGAGCGAGGAGAGGGGCCAUCCCCGGGCCCGCGCCAGGCCCCCAGCCGGAUGCCGGCUUCCAAUGGGGAAACUGAGGCACGGGGCUUGGUCAUGCAAAAGGGGCCGGAGCGGCUGGGACUGAGACCCGUUCCUUCGCCGCGGUCCGCAUGGGUCCGGUGGCCAGCACCGUGCUGGCUGUUUUAAUUUGGUUGCCGAUAUAUAAAAAUCAGAUUUGACAUUAAAACUCGGAUUUUAGUGUUUUAAAAAAGGAGUGUUUUGGGCCACUGGGAUCCUGAUUUCUCACUUCGCUGGAGGGGGUCGCCCAGCCGCGAAGCCUCCCACCACGGCUCUACCAGGGCGGAGGUCGGUGGCCGGUGUUCCAGGGAGCAAUGCUCCGCCGAGCCCCGGUCGCUUUCAAGUGGGAAUAAAAGUAGCUGUGCGGCCCCGAGCGCGGCAGAGACGCCGAGUGGGGCGCUGCCCCCGUCACCGCCAAGGCAGCCCCCCGCGCCUGCCCGCCCGCGGGGCUGACUUCAAGGACCCUGCACCCAAAGGCGGCUCCUCGGACCUGGGAUAGUCAGGGUGGGCUUCCUAGAAGAGGUGGCCGCUAAGGAGGAGGAAAGGUUCUG
rnacentral:lncRNA from 1 species